rnacentral:rRNA from 1 species
ACUUACAGCCACACCUCUCUUGGGUGUGGGCUGGGCCUGGUCAGUACCUGAUUGGGAAACCACCUGGAAACAAUCUCUGUAGGCU